AUGGAUUUUCAGGUGCAGAUUUUCAGCUUCCUGCUAAUCAGUAUCUCAGUUGUAAUGUCCAGAGGAGAAAAUGUGCUCACCCAGUCUCCAGCAAUCAUGUCUGCAUCUCUAGGGGAGAAGGUCACCAUGAGCUGCAGGGCCAGCUCAAGUGUAAAUUACAUGUACUGGUACCAGCAGAAGUCAGAUGCCUCCCCCAAACUAUGGAUUUAUUACACAUCCAACCUGGCUCCUGGAGUCCCAGCUCGCUUCAGUGGCAGUGGGUCUGGGAACUCUUAUUCUCUCACAAUCAGCAGCAUGGAGGGUGAAGAUGCUGCCACUUAUUACUGCCAGCAGUUUACUAGUUCCCCAUCCA